rnacentral:lncRNA from 1 species
AUAAUAAAAAAUAUAUUUUUUCUUAUAUAUUAUAUUUUGAAUUUUUUAAAAUGACUUUAAAUUACAAAAAGGAAGAAACCUUAUAUGUUAUAUUUUAAAAAAUUUAAAAUGACUUUAAAUUACAAAAAUAAAGAAACCUUAUAUGUUAGAUUUUUUUAUAUAUGUUAUAUUUUGAGUUUUUAACGAUUUUAAAUUACAAAAAUGUAAGUUUUUCUUAAGCAUACGACUAAAAUCAUUAAAAUAACAUGUAUCAGUUUGAUGGUUGAUCUCAAACCUUUCAAAACCAUAUGGAAGAUAAAUGUCAAAAUAAUUCAACUAUGAAAAUAAUACUGUUCACUUUUUUCAAAAUUGUGUUUGGUGGAAAAAAAUAAAGUUUUUGUGUUAUAAUUUGUUUAAUGUCCAUUCCGAUCAAUCCAUGAUAUAUUAAUUAUAGUUUAGUUCCACAAUUUUUAAUAAAAUUGAUCCGAUCCAUCGGAAAGAAAUUAUAUAAUAACAACAAAAAACAUUGUAUUGUAUAAAUAAAAUUAUCAAAUAUAUAAAAAUAAUUAUCGAUAAUAUAGACAAAUAACUCAACUCUUAUCCUAGUAUACCAAUAAAAAACCACACAUCAGCGCAAAAUAAUAAUAAGAAUGAUGAAGUCACAGAAAUUGAAUAUUAUUUAGGAAUCAGAUUUUAGAAAUAAAAAGAAAUAAGAAUUGUGUUGUUUACUGUAAUGCAAGAAAUAAUAAUGAGAAUGAUGAAUGAUGAAUUUACAGGACUUACACCAAAAAAAAAAAAAAACAAUUUGCAGGACUCGAAGAUUAGUUACAAUUAUUACAACAAAACAACAUGUGUAAGAGAACCAAUAGGAGAUGGAUGAGUAGUCUUACCAAAUUAACAAAAAAAUAGUGUAAACAGAAAUUCAGAUGCCAAUCACAUCUCUCUGAUCCAUUAAAAUAACGAUGGUUAUGUGUAGGCAAAGUGAUCGGACGGCUGAGAAAAUGGCGAUGAGUGCGAUGAUAAGAGGUGAAAGACAAAAUGGUCAUGCCUCGGUCGUGCUUUCGAGUUUCAACCCCCAAUUUCAUUUUCAUUUUGCCUCUUUUUUUCUUCUCAUACGCUAAUAACAACGGAUACGGCUUGGUGGUGUACCCUCCAAGAUUGGGUUUGCCUAAAUCAUUGUUUCUUUAGUUAGCUUCGAUCUCUUGUUCAAGAGUGUCUGCGAAUUAUGAUUAAUCCAUCAGUUUCAACUUUAUUACUUAUGGUUCUCUAAUGCUUAUUUCUCCUAUUAUUCUACUUCAUUAUUAUUGUUUUCCUCUUUUAAACUAUUAC